rnacentral:rRNA from 1 species
AUUGAACGCUGGCGGCAGGCCUAACACAUGCAAGUCGAGCGAGCGGCGGACGGGUGAGUAAUGUCUGGGAAACUGCCUGAUGGAGGGGGAUAACUACUGGAAACGGUAGCUAAUACCGCAUACCAUCAGAUGUGCCCAGAUGGGAUUAGCUAGUCGGUGGGGUAACGGCGCACCUAGGCGACGAUCCCUAGCUGGUCUGCGAGGAGGACCAGCCACAUUGGAACUGAGACACGGUCCAGACUCCUACGGGAGGCAGCAGUGGGGAAUAUUGCGCAAUGGGCGCAAGCCGGAUGCAGCCAUGCCGCGUGUGUGAAGAGGGCCUUCGGGUUGUAAAGCACUGUCAGCGGGGAGGCGUUACCCGCAGAGGAAGCACCGGCUAACUCCGUGCCAGCAGCCGCGGUAAUAC